rnacentral:rRNA from 1 species
UGGGGAAUAUUGCACAAUGGGCGCAAGCCUGAUGCAGCCAUGCCGCGUGUAUGAAGAAGGCCUUCGGGUUGUAAAGUACUUUCAGUCGGGAGGAAGGUGGUAAGGUUAAUAACCUUAUCAAUUGACGUUACCGACAGAAGAAGCACCGGAUAACUCCGUGCCAGCAGCCGCGGUAAUACGGAGGGUGCAAGCGUUAAUCGGAAUUACUGGGCGUAAAGCGCACGCAGGCGGUUGAUUGAGUCAGAUGUGAAAUCCCCGGGCUUAACCCGGGAAUUGCAGCUGAUACUGGUCAGGUAGAGUUUAGAGGAGGGGGGUAGAAUUCCUUGUGGAGCGGUGAAAUGCGUAGGGAUGUGGGGGAAUACCGGUGGCGAAGGCGGCCCCCUGGACAAAGACUGACGCUCAGGUGCGAAAGCGUGGGGAGCAAACAGG